UUGGGAAUUUUGCACAAUGGGCGAAAGCCUGAUGCAGCAACACUGCGUGAAGGAUGAAGGUUCUCGGAUCGUAAACUUCUUUUAUCUGGGAAUAAUCUUGAAGGUACCAGAUGAAUAAGCACCGGCUAACUACGUGCCAGCAGCCGCGGUAAUACGUAGGGUGCAAACGUUAUCCGGAUUUAUUGGGCGUAAAGAGCUCGUAGGUGGACUGGAAAGUCGGAUAUUAAAUACCCUGGCUCAACUAGGGAAAUGUAUCCGAAACUUCCAGACUUGAGGUAUGUAGGGGAGGAUGGAACUUACGGUGUAGCAGUGAAAUGCGUAGAUAUCGUAAGGAACGCCAAUGGUGAAGACAGUCCUCUGGACAUUACCUGACACUGAGGAGCGAAAGCGUGGGGAGCGAACGGG
rnacentral:rRNA from 1 species